rnacentral:lncRNA from 1 species
CAGGCCUCCACCAGGCUGGCACCGUCCACCCUGAGCUGGCCAAGGCCGAGCCCACCGCCGCGCCCCGCGCCGCCUUGCAGGGAGCUAACUUUCCCGGGCCCCCUAUUGCCCCGCACCAGCCGGGCCCAGCUGCUGGGCUCGGAACCCGCAGGCCUGGCCCGACCCGGCUCCGCCGCCGCUGCCCCGCUUGGCGAGGAGACGCCCUAAAGAAGUAAACACGUCAUGUCACGCUUAACAAANNNNNNNNNNNNGUAUGCAUCCAAAAGAGACCACCCAUCAGCUGAGCUUAGCUGUGAAAGAUGGUCUUAUUGUUGAAACUCUAACAGUGGGCUGCAAAGGUUCAAAAGCUGGUAUUGAACAAGAAGGAUAUUGGUUGCCAGGAGAUGAGAUUAGCAUUAAGAAGAAGAAUACAAAUAAACAGGAGAUGGGCACAUACCUGAGAUUCAUUAUCUCCUGAACGAAGGAGAGUGCUAUAGACCUUAAUAAGAAGGGGAAGGAUAAUAAACACCCAAUGUACAGGAGGCUGGUGCAUUCAGCUGUCAAUGUUCCCACCAUACAAGAGAAAGUGAAUGAGUGGAAAUAACGAAGUUAUGAAGAAUUCAAAGCUGAUGCCCAGCUGCUUCUCCACAACACAGUGAUUUUCUAUGGAGCAGACAGUGAGCAAGCUGACAUUGCAAGAAUGCUAUAUAAAGACACCUGUCAUGAGCUGGAUGAACUACAGCUUUGCAAGAACUGCUUCUAUUUGUCAAAUGCUCGUUCAGACAAUUGGCUCUGCUAUCCUUGUAUGCCUAAUCAUGAGCUGGUUUGGGCUAAAAUGAAAGGUUUCAGGUUUUGGGCAGCCAAAGUCAUGCAGAAAGAGGACAAUUAAGUUGACAUUCGCUUUUUUGGCCACCACCACCAGAGGGCCUGGAUUCCUUCUGAAAACAUCCAAGAUAUCACAGUCAACAUUCACCGGCUGCACAUGAAGCACAGUAUGGGGUGGAAGAAGGCCUGUGAUGAGCUGGAACUGCACUAGUGCUUCCUUCACAAAGGAAGAUUUUGGAAGUCUAAGAAUGAGGACAGAGGUGAGGAAGAGGCGGAGUCCAGUAUUUUGUCUACCAGUAAUGAGCAGCUAAAGUUCACCCACGAACCAAGGGCAAAGAAAGGACAACGUAAUCAAAGUGUGGAACCCAAAAAGGAAGAACCAGAGCCUGAAAUGGAAGCAGUGAGUUCUAGCCAGGAAAUCUCCACAAAGCCUUAGCCAAUCGAGAAGGUGUCACUAUCAACACAGACUAAGAAGUUAAGUGCCUCUUCCCCUAGAAUGCUGCACUGGAGCACCCAGGCCACCAGCUAUGGGGUCUGUCAGAGCAUGUGCCAUGACAAGUACACCAGAAUUUUCAAUGACUUUAAAGACCAGAUGAAAUCAGACCACAAUCGAGAGACAGAGUUGUCCAUGAAGCUCUGGAAAAGCUGCGUUCUGAAAUGGAAGAAGAAAAAAGACAGGCUGUAAAUAAAGCUGUAGCAAACAUGCAGAGUGAGAUGGACAGAAAAUGUAAGCAAGUAAAGGAAAAGUGUAAAGAAGAAUUUGUAGAAGAAAUCAAGAAGCUAGCCACCCAGCACAAUUAAUAUCUCAGACCAAGAAGAAGCAGUGGGUAAAUAUCACUCUUUUUUUUUAGAAUUUUAUUUCUGACAUCAGGUCUGAUAGAAAUCAAUGCAAAAAGAUAUAUGUGGGAUAUGUAAAAAUUAUUCCUAAAAUAAGGGCAACUGUGAAACUGUCAACUAUUUUAAAUUGUUUAUUAAAAGUCCUACUCUCAAUCACACACACACACAAAAAGGAGGAUAUGGACUGGUAAAGAAAUCAUGGAUCGGCAGGGGGAUUUAGCUCAGUGGCUCCUCACCUGCCUUGCAAGCCUA